GUUUGCUGAGGAGGAGAUGAGGUUCAAUCCAUCCAGACUCCCCCACUUCCUACUGGGAGAGGACCGCAGGAGAGAGCAUUGACACAACAGUGGAGGAGAGAGGAAGAGGAAAGCAACCAGUGCAAUGAUGUCCACAGGUCUGCAGGAGCAGGGCUCUCUUCUCAGCAGCUGCAAAGAAGUGGAGUAAGAAACUAUCUGAGGGACAAUGACUCCCGUUUCUGACACUGUCACUCCAGCCCUGGAUUGCACCAACGUUGCUGAAGCUGACACUUUAAUAUAAAGCAACUUGUGCAUUGCAGCAAAGAAACUAAACUAAAUCAGAGCACCUAUCUUGUGUAAACAUGACCUUUAUGUCCAGCAUUCAUUUGACACUCUCUGCUAAAACAACUCUACCUCCAACUAAAAUCAUCUGAAACGAGGGCUUUGAACUGCUGGCACCAAGACUGCAGCUCCAGAGGGACUAAUAAAUGUAUAUGGUUUCCCCUUCUUGCUGCCUUUUGUGUCCCCUAUAAAGAAGGAUUCUGCAUGAGACUGAAGGAGGAGAAGAAAUGCACUUUUAGAUAGUGUUACCUUUCUGUUUCUAUUGUAUCAUAACCAUUAAUCCCCAUCUCUGGAUUUCUGUGUACUGCCAUAGUCCUUGCUCCCUGUGUUGUGUAGUAAAGGGGAGCCAGGGAGGCACAGAGGUGGUAAUUACAGAC
rnacentral:lncRNA from 13 species